AGAGCAAUAGGAGAACAGAACGUGAGUGAGGGAGAUAGAGAGAAAGGAGUAGGAUAGAAAGAAAGAAAUAAACAGAAAGGAAAGGAAACAAAAGAAAAGAGACACUGGGAGAAAGAAAAGGAUAUGUGAGAAUGAAAAUAGAGAGAGAAGAAGAGGAAAGGAAAGGGGUAGAAGAAAGAGAAGGGAAGGCAUGAUUACAAAGAUUAGUUUCGGAGACUUAGAAAUUUGGGAUUCAAAGGAACAUAUAUCUAUACAAUAGCUUGGAAUGCAGGUAGGGGGAUCUGGGAACCUCUACUCAAUUUUAUUGUAUGCAUAUAUAUUGCCUAACAUGUUUGUUGUGGAAUGAAUGAAUAUUUGAUGCAAUUACAUUGCGAAGUAUAUGUUAUCAAUUGAUGCAUCAUUCAUUGAGUACAUAUGAAGUAUAAGGGUGGUGAUGGUGAUAUGUGUAAUGUUAUUGAUAUAAGAAAGUUUGAAAUUUAUCUUUUCCGUAGUUAAGUCCAUAACCUCAGCAGGUACCAGAUCCCAGGUAUGCCCAUUGUUAAUGCGCAAUUAGUAUAUGAUUGAAAGGGGGAUUCGGGACUGGCGAAAGGGGCAUGGACAAGAUGACUAGCAAAAGAGGGUUAGGGGGAUUGAUUUUGGGUGGGGGUUAGUUCAUAUAGUUGAGUACUCUGAGUCACCUUCAUGGUAAAAUACAUGGUAUGGGACAUGUAGGCUCAGUUUAUUCUGCUGUGUGAAUUAUCGAGAAUAGAACAUGCAUUCAUGCAUACCAUAUGAUGAUUGUUUGGUUAUCUUUUGUGUGAAGAGAAAUAGCUCCCUACUGAGCCACAGGUUGAGCUCACCCCUUAACAGUCUUGCAGGUUAUCAAACAUAAGAACUAUGAAGAUUAGUGAUCGAAAGCAAUUAGAGUUAGUUGGAGUUUUGCUUAUGUAAGAUCAUUAUUCCGGAAGUGAGUACUCUUAGUGAUCUUGAGUUGGAUUUAUCCUUAUACCGAAAUGAGAAGUCAAUUCCAUUA